rnacentral:rRNA from 1 species
AUGCAUCCAACCUCACUGCUCUUCACCUUGGCCUCACUGUUCCUCUUCCAUCAACGGGUACAUGCCGAGUGUGAGCCGAUGGCGUGCGGGAACUUCACCAUCAAGUACCCGUUCUGGCUCGGCGCGCCUAGCCGCCCCGCGCCGGAGCCCUCCUGCGGCCACCCAGCCUUCGAGCUCUGGUGCAGCGGCAGCAACACCUCCGCUUCCAUGCGUGGCUCCGCCAUCCAGGUCCUCAGCAUCGACUAUGGCGCCAGCUCCUUCGUCGCCUCCCAUAGCAGAUUCUCCGGGAGCGAGGACGGUGUGUGCCGCGCCGAUUUCAACAUGUCCUCCAGCCUAGCUCUUAGUUCGUUCAAGCUCAGCCCCAGCAAUAUGGCCCUGUGCCUCCUCUUCAAUUGCAACGGCACAGAGCCACGGGGACCCGCCUACGUGAACGCCACCCACGGGGACCCGCCUGCGUCGCUAGCGGCGGCGAGUGCCGGUACAGCAGCUCCACCGCAGAAUUCGCAUGCCUCUGCCGGUCUGCCCCGGCCGGUGGCAUGCUGCAUGGGCCAACAUGUGCCGGUGGCGAGAAGAGAGGGAAGAAGAUUAUGCUAAUAGCAUCUUGCUACUUUUACCAGCGUGCACAAGAGAACUCUAAACUACAGAUGGUCUGGAAAUAAUAAUGACGGUAUUACAACUUCUGCUUUACAAAAGGAAAUAACAUCUCCUUCCAUCUCAGGUAUGACAUCAGCAGCUGCAACCUUUCUCUUUGCAAGUCUUUAUGUGCUAAUAAUGCAUAGAAAGGGAAAGAGACUAUGGUUUCUCCUUUGCAAGAAGACUAGCAGCAACAUUGAAAAAAAUUACGAGGCCAUGAUAGUAUCAUAUGGAUCCCUAGCUCCAAAAAGAUUCAUGUAUUCAGAGGUAAUGAAGAUAACGUCUUCACGCAAUAAUCAGCUUGGAAAAGGUGGUUAUGGUGUGGUUUUCAAAGGAAGACUACACGAUGGUCGUCUGGUUGCUGUAAAAUUCUUGCAUGACUGCAAAGGAAAUGGGGACGAGUUUGUGAAUGAGGUUAUGAGUAUUGGCAGGACCUCUCAUGUUAACGUAGUUAGCUUAUUUGGGUUUUGUUUGGAGGGAUCAAAACGAGCUCUUAUAUAUGAGUACAUGCCCAACGGUUCCCUGGAUAAGUACAUUUACUCAGAGAACCCCAAAGAAAUUUUGGGAUGGGAGAGUCUCUAUGGAAUAGCAAUCGGGAUUGCUCGCGGCCUCGAAUACUUGCACCAUAGUUGUAAUACACGUAUCGUCCAUUUUGAUAUCAAGCCCCAAAAUAUCCUUCUAGACAAAGAUUUUAACCCAAAGAUUGCUGAUUUUGGUCUAGCUAAAUUGUGCCAUACAAAGGAGAGCAAUCUUUCAAUGACUGGAGCUAGAGGAACAAUUGGGUUCAUCGCUCCAGAAGUUCACUCUCGAACCUUCGGGGUGGUUUCAACAAAGUCAGAUGUUUAUAGUUAUGGAAUGAUGCUAUUGGAAAUGGUUGGAGGCAGGAGAAAUGUAAAAUCAAUUGUUGCAAAAUCCAGCGAAAAGUAUUUUCCAGACUGGAUUUAUGACCACUUUGCGCAAGAUGAUGGAUUACAAGCAUGUGAAGUCACAGGAGAAACUGAGGAAAUCGCAAGAAAGAUGACAUUAAUUGGCUUGUGGUGCGUACAUAUAUUGCCUGCAUAUCGCCCUACCAUAACCAAAGUCCUAGAAAUGUUCGAGAGAAGCUCAGAUGACAUGGACAUGCCACCGAAGCAAAACUUGAAAGUUCAGCUCACAAUAUGGAUGUACAAAGUUCAAGUUUUACCAGAUCUGAGGAGAUCAGCCUUGUGA